rnacentral:rRNA from 1 species
GUUUUGAUUAUGGCUCAGAUUGAACGCUGGCGGGAUGCUUUACACAUGCAAGUCGAACGGCAGCAUCGACUUCGGUCUGGUGGCGAGUGGCGAACGGGGUGAGUAAUGUAUCGAAACGUGCCUAGUAGCGGGGGAUAACUACGCGAAAGCGUAGCUAAUACCGCAUACGCCCUUCGGGGGAAAGCGGGGACCUUCGGGCUUCGCACUAGAGCGGCCGAUAUCGGAUUAGCUAGUUGGUGGGGUAACGGCUCACCAAGGCGACGAUCCGUAGCUGGUUUGAGAGGACGACCAGCCACACUGGACCGAGACACGGCCCAGACUCCUACGGGAGGCAGCAGUGGGAAUUUUGGACAAUGGGGGAAACCCUGAUCCAGCCAUCCCGCGUGUGCGAUGAAGGCCUUCGGGUUGUAAAGCACUUUUGGCAGGAAAGAAACGGCACGGGAUAAUACCCCGUGCAACUGACGGUACCUGCAGAAUAAGCACCGGCUAACUACGCCAGCAGUCGCGGUAAUACGUAGGGUGCAAGCGUUAAUCGGAAUUACUGCUAAAGCGUGCGCAGGCGGUUCGGAAAGAAAGAUGUGAAAUCCCAGAGCUUAACUUUGAACUGCAUUUUUAACUACCGAGCGAGUGUGUCAGAGGAGGUGGAAUUCGCGUAGCAGUGAAAUGUAGAUAUGCGGAGGAACACCGAUGGCGAAGGCAGCCUCCUGGGAUAACACUGACGCUCAUGCACGAAAGCGUGGGGAGCAAACAGGACAUACCCUGGUAGUCCACGCCCCAAACGAUGUCAACUAGCUGUUGGGGCCUUCGGGCCUGGUAGCGCAGCUAACGCGUGAAGUUGACCGCCUGGGGAGUACGGUCGCAAGAUUAAAACCAAAGGAAUUGACGGGGACCCGCACAAGCGGUGGAUGAUGUGGAUUAAUUCGAUGCAACGCGAAAACCUUACCUACCCUUGACAUGUCUGGAAUCCCGAAGAGAUUUGGGAGGCUCGUGAGAACCGGAACACAGGUGUUGCAUGGCUGUCGUCAGCUCGUGUCGUGAGAUGUUGGGUUAAGUCCCGCAAAUGAGCGCAACCCUUGUCAUUAGUUGCUACAAAGGGCACUCUAAUGAGACUGCCGGUGACAAACCGAGGAAGGGGAUGACGUCAAGUCCUCAUGGCCCUUAUGGGUAGGGCUUCACACGUCAUACAAUGGUCGGGACAGAGGGUCGCCAACCCGCGAGGGGGAGCCAAUCCCAGAAACCCGAUCGUAGUCCGGAUCGCAGUCUGCAACUCAACUGCGUGAAGUCGGAAUCGCUAGUACCCGCGGAUCAGCAUGUCGCGGUGAAUACGUUCCCGGGUCUUGUACACACUGCCCGUCACACCAUGGGAGUGGGUUUACCAGAAGUAGUUAGCCUAACCGUAAGGGGAGGGCGAUUACCACGGUAGGAUUCAUGACUGGGGUGAAGUCGUAACAAGGUAG